GAUGAACGCUAGCGGCAGGCCUAACACAUGCAAGUCGAGGGGUAACAGGAGAGCUUGCUCUCGCUGACGACCGGCGCACGGGUGCGGAACGCGUAUGGAACCUACCUCAAUCAGGGGGAUAGCCCAGGGAAACUUGGAUUAAUACCCCAUAGUAUUGUUUUAUUGCAUGAUAGAACAAUUAAAACUUUGGUGGAUUGAGAUGGCCAUGCGUAUCAUUAGCUAGUUGGUAAGGUAACGGCUUACCAAGGCGACGAUGAUUAGGGGCCCUGAGAGGGGGAUCCCCCACACUGGUACUGAGACACGGACCAGACUCCUACGGGAGGCAGCAGUGAGGAAUAUUGGACAAUGGUCGCAAGACUGAUCCAGCCAUGCCGCGUGCAGGAUGACUGCCCUAUGGGUUGUAAACUGCUUUUGUACGAGAAGAACACCCUCUUCGUGAAGAGGACUGACGGUAUCGUACGAAUAAGGACCGGCUAACUCCGUGCCAGCCGCCGCCGUAACAC
rnacentral:rRNA from 1 species